UACGUAGGCAGCGAGCGUUGUUCGGAAUUACUGGGCGUAAAGAGUGCGUAGGCGGUGCUCUAAGUCUGUUGUGAAAUCUCCCGGCUCAACUGGGAGGGUGCGGCGGAAACUAGAGUGCUAGAGUAUGGGAGAGGUAAGCGGAAUUCCUGGUGUAGCGGUGAAAUGCGUAGAUAUCAGGAGGAACACCAAUUGCGAAGGCAGCUCGCUGGGACGUAACUGACGCUGAGACGCGAAAGCGUGGGGAGCAAACAGG
rnacentral:rRNA from 1 species